rnacentral:rRNA from 1 species
CCUACGGGAGGCAGCAGUAGGGAAUCUUCCGCAAUGGACGAAAGUCUGACGGAGCAACGCCGCGUGAACGAUGAAGGCCUUCGGGUCGUAAAGUUCUGUUGUUAGGGAAGAACAAGUGCUAGUUAAAUAAGCUGGCACCUUGACGGUACCUAACCAGAAAGCCACGGCUAACUACGUGCCAGCAGCCGCGGUAAUACGUAGGUGGCAAGCGUUGUCCGGAAUUAUUGGGCGUAAAGCGCGCGCAGGCGGUUUCUUAAGUCUGAUGUGAAAGCCCCCGGCUCAACCGGGGAGGGUCAUUGGAAACUGGGAAACUUGAGUGCAGAAGAGGAAAGUGGAAUUCCAAGUGUAGCGGUGAAAUGCGUAGAGAUUUGGAGGAACACCAGUGGCGAAGGCGACUUUCUGGUCUGUAACUGACGCUGAGGCGCGAAAGCGUGGGGAGCAAACAGGAUUAGAUACCCUGGUAGUCCACGCUGUAAACGAUGAGUGCUAAGUGUUAGAGGGUUUCCGCCCUUUAGUGCUGAAGUUAACGCAUUAAGCACUCCGCCUGGGGAGUACGGGUCGCAAGACUGAAACUCAAAUAGAAAUUGACGG